rnacentral:rRNA from 1 species
AUUGAACGCUGGCGGCAUGCCUUACACAUGCAAGUCGAACGGCAGCACGGGAGCAAUCUUGGUGGCGAGUGGCGAACGGGUGAGUAAUAUAUCGGAACGUGCCCAGUCGUGGGGAUAACGUAGCGAAAGCUACGCUAAUACCGCAUACGAUCUAUGGAUGAAAGCGGGGGAUCGCAAGACCUCGCGCGAUUGGAGCGGCCGAUAUCAGAUUAGGUAGUUGGUGAGGUAAAGGCUCACCAAGCCGACGAUCUGUAGCUGGUCUGAGAGGACGACCAGCCACACUGGGACUGAGACACGGCCCAGACUCCUACGGGAGGCAGCAGUGGGGAAUUUUUGGACAAUGGGCGCAAGCCUGAUCCAGCAAUGCCGCGUGCAGGAUGAAGGCCU